UUAUUCAACAUGCUGUCUUUGCAGACAUUUGGAUUCACUCUGCUGUUUCUAGUCAUUCUAACAGGUGUCAGCUGUGAAGAACUCACUGCAGUCAAUAAUGAAGAGUCCAGUUUAGAAGGAAGCUCUGUUACUCUGUCCUACACUUACUCUAAAACUAUAGUUGCUAAUGAUGAUUUCUUCUGGUAUCGACAAUAUCCAGGAAAACCACCAGAAUUCCUCCUGCAUAUCUCUGGACUCAACAAGUCAAGAACAGCAGAGUCUCUGAAAUCAGCCGCAAGGUUCUCCACUAAACUGAGAGGAAAACAAGAUGUAGAUCUGGAGAUCUCCUCUGCUGCAGUGUCUGACUCUGCUGUGUACUACUGUGCUCUGCAGCCCACAGUG